rnacentral:RNase_P_RNA from 1 species
GCGGAUGGUCGGAUGGCCGCGUGCGGGGGCGCAUGCCCCUGCGCGAGGAAAGUCCGGGCUCCAUGAAGUGACGGUGCCGGGUAACGCCCGGCCGGGGUAACCCGAGGGAAAGCGCCACAGAGAACAGACCGCCAUGCAUGCAUGGUAAGGGUGAAACGGUGGGGUAAAAGCCCACCGCAGGACGGGCAACCGGACUGGCAUGGCAAGCCCCACCGGGAGCAAUGCCGAAUAGGGACUUCGCGCGGGUAUGAUCCUUCCGGGAUAUCUCCGCAGGGCCGCUUCAGCCUGAAGUCCGGGUUGGCAGCUAGAUCCUGUCCGCAAGGGCAGGGGCAGAUGAAUGGUCAUCGACGGGGGCAACUGCCCCCUGAACAGAACCCGGCUUACAGACCAUCCGCACAU